CUAAUCCUUUUUUAUAUGUUUUUUCAACAUUUUUGCCUCUAUAUUCAUCAGGCAUAUUGGCCUAUAGUUUUUUUUUCUUGUAGUGUCCUUAUCUGGCAUUGU